UGGGGAAUAUUGGACAAUGGGCGCAAGCCUGAUCCAGCAAUGCCGCGUGUGUGAAGAAGGCCUUCGGGUUGUAAAGCACUUUUAUCAGGAGCGAAACGCUGUCGGCUAAUACCCGGCGGAACUGACGGUACCUGAGGAAUAAGCACCGGCUAACUUCGUGCCAGCAGCCGCGGUAAUACGAAGGGUGCAAGCGUUAAUCGGAAUUACUGGGCGUAAAGCGUGCGUAGGCGGUUUCUUAAGUCUGCUGUGAAAUCCCCGGGCUCAACCUGGGAAUGGCAGUGGAUACUGGGAGGCUAGAGUGUGUCAGAGGGUGGUGGAAUUCCCGGUGUAGCGGUGAAAUGCGUAGAGAUCGGGAGGAACAUCAGUGGCGAAGGCGGCCACCUGGGACAACACUGACGCUGAGGCACGAAAAGCGUGGGGGAGCAAACAGGAUUAGAUACCCUGGUAGUCCACGCCCUAAACGAUGCGAACUGGAUGUUGGUCUCAACUCGGAGAUCAGUGUCGAAGCUAACGCGUUAAGUUCGCCGCCUGGGGAGUACGGUCGCAAGACUGAAACUCAAAUGAAUUGACGGGGUCAUAGCUGUUUCCUG
rnacentral:rRNA from 1 species